rnacentral:rRNA from 1 species
GUCCACGCCGUAAACGAUGGAUACUUGUUGUUGGAGGUAUUGACCCCUUCAGUGACGAAGCUAACGCGUUAAGUAUCCCGCCUGGGGAGUACGGUCGCAAGAUUAAAACUCAAAGAAAUUGACGGGGCCCGCACAAGCGGUGGAGCAUGUGGUUUAAUUCGAUGCAACGCGAAGAACCUUACCUAGGCUUGACAUGUACUGGAAGACUGGCAGAAAUGUCGUCGCUCGCAAGAGUCGGUACACAGGUGCUGCAUGGCUGUCGU